GUAGAUCAUGUCGAUUCGUUACGUGCCGUCUCUCCGUCGCAGUCUCCCACAGCGUGGUCGCGUGGAACCGCCGCUUCUUAAGUUGCCUCCCACGACACCGACUAAUACUCCUAUGAUUCCCACGACGACGCGGACGAUGACUGCCAACUGGCACAGCUCCAUGCUAAAGAAGCCCGACGACGUUUGCAGCGACGGGCGGUGUGUACAAAAGGUACCCCCCUGAUGUGCCGUUAAAUGGUCGUCCGUCGUUGACUCGGCGUUCGGUCAGCCCCGCCUUUGUAUUCUUUAUAUCAAACUUUGUUCAGUCUGAAAACAAUUGUGCUACUCUUAAAAAGGUAGUAACAAAUGAGAAAAAAAGAGAGACAACUUUUAACGGUGGAUCUCUUGGCUCACGCAUCGAUGAAGAACGCAGCCAGCUGCGAUAAGUAGUGUGAAUUGCAGAAUUCAGUGAAUCAUCGAAUCUUUGAACGCAAAUGGCGCUCUUGGGUUCUCCCAGGAGCAUGUCUGUCUGAGUGUCGGAUACCAUCUAACGCACACGUGUGUGCGGCGUUGAGGCGUCACGGCCUUUCUUCCAAAGAGUUGGUGGCCGUGUCCCUUGAAGGGAAGGCAAUACUCGCAUCGUGCGCGACCAGCACUCCCAUGCGAAGGCCAAAAAUUCUUUCCUUGGCAUGGCCGCUGUUGGCGCCACCUUACGACGACAAAUCAGAUUCAUAUCUUGACCUCAGAUCAGGCAAGGCUACCCGCUGAAUUUAAGCAUAUUAAUAAGCGGAGGAAAAGAAACUAACAAGGAUUCCCCCAGUAACGGCGAGUGAAGCGGGAAUAGCUCAAAUUUGAAAUCUCCGACGCUUGCGUCGGCGAGUUGUAGUUGCCAGAAGCACUUUCUAGGCGGAUCGACCGUGCCUAAGUUGCUUGGAACAGCACCGUCGCAGAG
rnacentral:rRNA from 1 species